rnacentral:rRNA from 1 species
GACGAACGCUGGCGGCGUGCCUAAUACAUGCAAGUCGAGCGAAGUUUUUCUGGUGCUUGCACCGGAAAAACUUAGCGGCGAACGGGUGAGUAACACGUAAAGAACCUGCCUCAUAGACUGGGACAACUAUUGGAAACGAUAGCUAAUACCGGAUAAUAGCAUUAACUGCAUGGUUGAUGUUUAAAAGUUGGUUUUGCUAACACUAUGAGAUGGCUUUGCGGUGCAUUAGCUAGUUGGUGGGGUAAAGGCCUACCAAGGCGACGAUGCAUAGCCGACCUGAGGGGGUGAUUGGCCCAACUGGGACUGGGACACGGCCCCGACUCCCACGGGAGGCAGCAGUAGGGAAACUUCCGCAAUGGGCGAAAGCCUGACGGAGCAACGCCGCGUUAGUGAAGAAGGAAUUCGGUUCGUAAAGCUCUUUUUUUAGGGAAGAAUGAUUGUGUAGUAACUAUACACAGUAGAGACGGUACCUAACCAGAAAGCCACGGCUAACUACGUG